UACGAAGGGGGCUAGCGUUGUUCGGAAUUACUGGGCGUAAAGCGCACGUAGGCGGAUAUUUAAGUCAGGGGUGAAAUCCCAGAGCUCAACUCUGGAACUGCCUUUGAUACUGGGUAUCUUGAGUAUGGAAGAGGUAAGUGGAAUUGCGAGUGUAGAGGUGAAAUUCGUAGAUAUUCGCAGGAACACCAGUGGCGAAGGCGGCUUACUGGUCCGUAACUGACGCUGAGGUGCGAAA
rnacentral:rRNA from 1 species